rnacentral:rRNA from 1 species
GAUGAACGCUGGCGGCGUGCCUAAUACAUGCAAGUCGAGCGAACAGAUGAGGAGCUUGCUCCUCUGACGUUAGCGGCGGACGGGUGAGUAACACGUGGAUAACCUACCUAUAAGACUGGGAUAACUUCGGGAAACCGGAGCUAAUACCGGAUAAUAUAUUGAACCGCAUGGUUCAAUAGUGAAAGACGGUUUUGCUGUCACUUAUAGAUGGAUCCGCGCCGCAUUAGCUAGUUGGUAAGGUAACGGUUUACCAAGGCAACGAUGCGUAGCCGACCUGAGAGGGUGAUCGGCCACACUGGAAGUGAGACACGGUCCAGACUCUUACGGGAGGCAGCAGUAGGGAAUCUUCCGCAGUAGGCGAAAGCAUGACGGAGCAACGGGGCGUGGGUGAUGAAGGUCUUCGGAUCGUAAAACUCUGUUAUUAGGGAAGAACAAAUGUGUAAGUAACUGUGCACGUCUUGACGGUACCUGGUCAAAAAGCCACGGCUAACUACGUG